ACACGGGAAAGGAGGUGGUCCGAAGAAUGAUUUCUUUUGGGACGCGUGAGGUGGCUGCCCGCUAGCAGCCCAUCAGCAAGACCCGGGGCGGAGUCGUCCUGGGACGGCUGCUGGUGAAUCCAUCGCAGUCACCCGACCCGCAGGCGAUCCGGUCAUCACGUCCACCGGAGCCGGGCCCACCUGGGCUCGACGCCUGCGGGUCGCUGCGU
rnacentral:sRNA from 1 species